rnacentral:rRNA from 1 species
GGCGAACGCUGGCGGCGUGCUUAACACAUGCAAGUCGAACGGAAAGGCCCUGCUUGUGUGGGGUUCUCGAGUGGCGAACGGGUAAGUAAGACGUGAGUAACCUGCCCUUGUCUUUGGGAUAACUUCAGGAAACUGGGGCUAAUACCGUAUAGCAUCUCCUGCUGCAUGGUAGGGGUUGGAAAUUUUAGGCUGGUGGGGAUGGACUCGCGGCUUAUCGGCUUGUUGGUGGGGUAGUGGCUUACCAAGGCUUUGACGGGUAGCCGGCCUGAGAGGGUGACCGGCCACAUUGGGACUGAGGUACGGCCCAGAGUCCUACGGGAGGCAGCAGUGGGGAAUAUUGCACAAUGGGAGGAAGCCUGAUGCAGAAACGCCGCGUGCGGGAUGACGGCCUUCGGGUUGUAAACCGCUUUAGCCUGUGACGAAGCGUGAGUGACGGUAAUGGGUAAAGAAGCACCGGCUAACUACGUG